rnacentral:lncRNA from 1 species
UAAAUAUUAAAAUUCUCUUUCUCUCUCUCUCUCUUAAAAAAAAGUUUAAAAUACAUAAAUAAAUAAAAAGGUCUAAGGAUGUGACUGAGUGGUAAAUUGUCCCUGGGUUAAAUCCCCAGUACCAUUAAUUAAUUUUAAAAGGGCUGGGGAUGUGGCUUAAUUGUGGAGUGCCCUUGGGUUCAGGGUAAAUUAUUUAUUCAUAGUGGUAUGUCACCCAGACAGGUGUCUAAUUCAACCUCCCUGGUGUCACAGAAAUUUCUGUUACUUUUUUUUUUUUGCAGUACUGGGGAUGGAACCCAGAGCUACAAGGAACUUUCACUAUUGUGAGGCAACCCCUUUUUAAAAUUGUUCUAGGCCCCAGGCUCAGCUAAUUCAGGUGGAUGGGAUAUGGGCUUCCUCACUGAUCCUGCCUCCCCGACCCUGGGUAAUUUAGAGCCAGGUGGAAUGUCAGAUGGCAGAGAAGCAAUGCAAGGUGGAUAGUAUUAAGUCUGUGGGGCUCACUUCUGGUCUUUGCAGCAACAGUGAUCGCUGAGUGAAGAGUGCCUAGGAUAGUUACCCAAAAUGCUGAAUAUCAAAAUCUUCAGCGCCACCUCCCAUUGGGACUAAUCCCAGAAAAUUGCUGACCCCCUGGGCCUGGAGCUAGGCAAGGUGGUGACUAAGAAAUUCAGCAACCAGGGGGACCUGUGUGGAAAUUGGUGAAAGUAUAAGUGGAGAAGAUGUCUACGUUCAGAGUAUCAUGUUGAAAUCCUUGACAAUCUAGUGGAGCUUUUGAUCAUGGUUAAUGCCUGCAAGAUCACUUCAGUCAGCUCAGUUGCUGCAGUCAUCCCAUGUUUCCCUGAUGACUGGCACGAUAAGGAGGACAAGAAGCAGGCUCCACUCUCAGCCAAGCUUGUCGAAAAUAUGCUGUCUGUAGCUGGUGCAGGUCAUAUUAUCACCAUGGAUCUUCAUGCUUCUCAAAUUUAGGGCUUUUUAAAUAUCCCAGUGGACAAUUUGUAUGCAGAGCUGGGUAUCCUGAAUUGAAUUAGGGAGAAUAUCUGAGUGGAGGAACUGCCCUAUUGUGUCACCUGAUGCUGAUGGAGCCAAGAGUGUGACCUUGCAGACUGGUUGAAUGUGGACUUUGUCUAGAUUCACUAGCAACAGAAGGCCAGUGAUGUGGACUGCAUGGUGCUAGUCGGUGGGAAUGAAGACUCCAGUGGCUAUCCUUGUGGAUGACAUGACUGACACUUGUGGCACAGUUUGCCUUGUGGCUGACAAACUUCUCAGCUGGAGCCACCAGAGUUUGUCUUGACUCAUGGAAUCUUUUCUGGCCCAGUCAUUUCUCUCAUCACAGUGCAAGUUUUGAAGCAGUAGUGAUUACUCAUACCAUACCCCGGGAGGUCAAGGUGAAGCAUUGCUCCAAAUUACAGGUGAUUGACAUCUCUAUGAUUCUUGCAGAAGCCAUCAGGAGAGCUCUUAAUGGGGAAUUCUUUCCUACUGUUCAGCUUUGUCCCUUUAUAAUAGAAUAAGUUUUGAGACAUUUUUAUUUAUUUAUUUUGAGGCAUUUUUAAAAGUAAAAACAAACCCCGCUCCUUGUUUUUUUUCCUUGGCAUUUGAUGACAAAUUCGCAGAAGACCC